AACGAACGCUGGCGGCAUGCCUAACACAUGCAAGUCGAACGAGACCUUCGGGUCUAGUGGCGCACGGGUGCGUAACGCGUGGGAGCCUGCCCUUAGGUUCGGAAUAACUCCCCGGAAGGGGUGCUAAUACCGGAUAAUGUCUUCGGACCAAAGAUUUAUCGCCUUUGGAUGGGCCCGCGUUGGAUUAGCUAGUUGGUAGGGUAAAAGCCUACCAAGGCGACGAUCCAUAGCUGGUCUGAGAGGAUGAUCAGCCACACUGGGACUGAGACACGGCCCAGACUCCUACGGGAGGCAGCAGUGGGGAAUAUUGGACAAUGGGCGAAAGCCUGAUCCAGCAAUGCCGCGUGAGUGAUGAAGGCCUUAGGGUUGUAAAGCUCUUUUACCCGGGAUGAUAAUGACAGUACCGGGAGAAUAAGCUCCGGCUAACUCCGUG
rnacentral:rRNA from 1 species